rnacentral:rRNA from 1 species
CCCUUAACGAGGAUCAAUUGGAGGGCAAGUCUGGUGCCAGCAGCCGCGGUAAUUCCAGCUCCAAUAGCGUAUAUUUAAGUUGUUGCAGUUAAAAAGCUCGUAGUUGGAUUUCGGGCGGGGCCUGCCGGUCCGCCUUUGGUGUGCACUGGCAGGGUCCGCCUUGCUGUCGGGGACGGGUUCCUGGGCUUUACUGUCUGGGACUCGGAGUCGACGUGGUUACUUUGAGUAAAUUAGAGUGUUCAAAGCAGGCUUACGCUCUGAAUACAUUAGCAUGGAAUAACGCGAUAGGACUCUGGCCUAUCUUGUUGGUCUGUGGGACCGGAGUAAUGAUUAAGAGGGACAGUCGGGGGCAUUCGUAUUUCAUUGUCAGAGGUGAAAUUCUUGGAUUUAUGAAAGACGAACUACUGCGAAAGCAUUUGCCAAGGAU